GAUAACAAGCUGAUCUUUCCCAAGAGCUAACAUCGAUAGGAAGGUUUGGCACCUUGAUGAUGGCUCUUCGCCACUUGGGGUUGUAGUAUUUUCCAAAGGAUAGGCUACUCGCCCAUUAAAGUGGUACGUAAGCUGCGUUCAGAACGUUGUGAGACAGUUC
rnacentral:rRNA from 1 species